rnacentral:rRNA from 1 species
AACGAACGCUGGCGGCAUGCCUAACACAUGCAAGUCGAACGAGACCUUCGGGUCUAGUGGCGCACGGGUGCGUAACGCGUGGGAACCUGCCCUUAGGUUCGGAAUAACUCCCCGAAAGGGGUGCUAAUACCGGAUAAUGUCUUCGGACCAAAGAUUUAUCGCCUUUGGAUGGGCCCGCGUUGGUUUAGCUAGUUGGUAGGGUAAAAGCCUACCAAGGCGACGAUCCAUAGCUGGUCUGAGAGGAUGAUCAGCCACACUGGGACUGAGACACGGCCCAGACUCCUACGGGAGGCAGCAGUGGGGAAUAUUGGACAAUGGGCGAAAGCCUGAUCCAGCAAUGCCGCGUGAGUGAUGAAGGGCUUAGGGUUGUAAAGCUCUUUUACCCGGGAUGAUAAUGACAGUACCGGGAGAAUAAGCUCCGGCUAACUCCGU